GAUACCGUGCAUUACUCAGUACCUCACACGGAUUCUCCUCCUGAACUGUUGGCUUUCAGUUAAGGGGGGGGGUAACACAGUGACACUGAAAAGGUUGAGCUUCCUUCAUUUAGAACAAAUGCAAAACAUCACGGCGUGUGCGAGCACAGGGAGGAUACACUCUGUCCUGACCUGGGUCAGUCUCUCUAUCUCGCAGGAGCUGCAGGGCAGAGUCUCAGCGACGACAAACAGCAGCAGAUGAUGUAGAAGCUGGCUCACGAAUUCAGGUCCUUGUUCUUCCACACACGAGAAGCCAGCUGCCCGAUAAUCCUAGAAUCCAGAAUCAGGUUGUGGAUGAGGCCUUGGUCACCUGAGAUGAAAAGACAAACAGAUCAUCUCACGGGUGUUUCAAGAGCGUGGCAAACUAACUACUACCAAAAACUGUCAAAACAAAUGGGACUGACACUCAUCAGAUUCUGGAGACAUGUCCAACAUGAGCGAAAGGAAGUUCUGCAAAAACUGGGUGUUGUUGUCAGAGAUGUGCAGACGCUUGCAGUAUUCCCUGCAAGGAGAGAACACAGAAACAUUAUAACAUUUCCUUUAUAGGUAGACAGAGGAAGAGAGAAAAGAAGAUAGAGACAUUUAAAUCACCUCGGAGCCAGAAACACAUGACCUGACAAUUCAAAGGAGCUGGGCAGCAGCGACUGCAUGUCUGUAACACAAAGACAAGAGGGGAAGUUUUUUAGAAUCUCAUCAAACGUAUGUGUUACUUCUUUAUAGAAGAAUUACUGUAUCAUGGUUUCAUCAGCCAGUCAAGUUGCAGUUUACAUCCAUAUUUUUCAAGAUUCAUGCAAAACCUGUAGCGAAGGCUUACAAUAAUAACAUAAUAAGCUUUAAUGUACAGCACUUUACACAAGAGGAUAAAACUACAUUAAAUUAAAUGAAAAUAAAACUUAAUCAAAGUCAAUAAAAUAAAUAAAAAAUCACCCUGGUAUAAGUUUAAUUUAAGUUAAUGCUUUGUCUAGAGGGAAUAAUUUCCACUGCAGCCUUUUUAUUUGUGAUUUAAGCAUAUGACUAAAUAUGAUUUGACCGAAUUUUGGUUUUGUGAAAUUACAAUGAGAGAAAAAGAGUCAUAUUCCUUGUAUGUGCUUGGACAAUAAAGCUGAUUCCAAUAAAACACCACGUUGUAUCCAUGACAGUCGACAAUGCUUCAAAUAUAGAUGCUGGUUCACAGAAGAUCUAUACAAUUGCCACAGUUUCAAGAUGGACAUUGAAAAUUAGAGUCACCAAUUCUGUAUCUGUCCAAAUCUGAAAUAGAUUUUAAAACUACAGUCGUAGUUGUAAAUGUUUUUAAAAGAUUAUGCCAUAGUGAAGUUGACCCUUAUAAUUUUUGACGUAAAAUGUUAUAAAUUAAUCGUUUUA